ACAGGACCGGGGAGGAAACAGGGACCGCCUUAGAAGGCAAGGGAAGGCACGCCGGCACACAGACCCACAGUGAGCCUGCACAGCUGCCCUGGCUUUUGGCUUGUUCCUGAUGUGUCUUCUGCGACCACAGGCCUCUCCACUCAACUCCAUAGCUUGUCAGGAGAGCUUCAGGGGUUCCCUUGUGUUGGCAGCAGCUGCUGAUCCCAAGUGAAACAGCUGCAAUAUUCUCCUUCUUGAGGAUGCAUCCCAGAACAGGCUGUUUCUUCCGAGAGGACAACAUAGCCUCCAACUUGGCAGCUGAGAGAAAUUCUCAAACACUGACAGAAAACAAGACAAAAGAAUUGAGUGGGUCCCUUCUGAAACCUGGACUUUUCAGAUUUUACCUGCCACUGUUUCCCAUUUUACUUUUCAUGUUUCCUGAGCAGACUGCUUACAGAAAAUCACCAAGAAGACAUAGAAGCCAAUUUUGUCCAUCAGGCUAUGGAGAUCCCUUCUCAUUUCAGCUUCACAAGUCAGAAAGUGGUGAUUGGAACAUCAGGAACCAGUACAGCCUAAUACAGCCACUUGACUGGUCUAAGACCUCUAACUAGUUUUUCUUUUGGCUAAAUGAGAAUUUUUCUGAUUAAUUGAAAUGCAAUGAGAACAUGCAAGAAGUGGAAAGAAAACAAAUGAAAAAGCACAUUUAUAGUAUACAUUUCUUUGGUAUUUAGAGACAAUGUGCAGACCAAUAUCUAGUCUGAGCUAAAAGUAGGCAGGGGCAUAAAAGGUGAUGGAACAAGACUCUGAAGUUAGUUGCAAAGUAAAAUUAAGAAAAAAUGUGAGUUUGCUGAGGUAGAAAAGCUACUGAGAAACGAUACAGAAGAAGUUGAAGUAGACUUUGUGAGUUUUGUCUUGGUUUCCACAGGUAAUACCUGAUCUUACACCUCUGUGUUGACCAAUGUAAUUUGGUGAAGAGAUGGAAACCAAAUAAUGCAGUAGAAACAUGGUAAGUAUUUCUGAGAGAAAUUUAAAGAUAAUGGAGAUGGAUGGCACUCAUCCAAGGCCACUGGAAGAGCUGGCUGCAGAGUUUGCAAUGUUACAGUGUCUGAAAAAAACCCUGUGGUUAUCAGGGAAAUCCCUUGCAACCAAAAAUGGUUAACACUAUGUUCAUCUUUAGGAAAAAUGAAAGGAAAACUUGGGCAAUUUUAAGGCAUAUCAAUCCCUGUAAAGACUGUGAAGCAUGCCCCGUUAGAAUCCAUCUUCAAACACAUGAAAGCAAUCAUGAAUAACUAGUUCAGACUUGACCAGCUUGAUUGUUUGCUGUCAUGAGAUGGCUUGUUGAACAGGCAGGAGGAAAAUAACAGAUACCCAGUCUUCAGGAUGGCUUUUGGCACUGUCCCCAAAAGGAUUUUCUGUGAAAGCUGAGGAAGUAUGGACUGAAAGAACAGUUUGUUAAAUGCAUUGCAAAUUGGCUCUACCACCACAGUAAAGGUGUAGUAGAAUCAAUGCUUUGAGUUCCAGUUGGUAAUAAGCAAAGUACCCUAUGGUUUGGUACUGGGACUCAUAUUGUUCAGCAUUUCCAUCAACAGCUUAGGUAGUUACACAGAAUAUGUCCUCAGGUAAAUCUGCAGAUAUUACUGAUAAUGAAGAAUGAUUGACAUGAAGAGUCGGAAAGCUUUAAUUCAAAGGGUUCUUGAGGAUCGGACCAACAUAAACAUCAUGAGGAUUCUGAAUCUGGCUCAGAACAACCUCAUGUACCCACACAGGUUGGGAAAUGGCAAGGUUGUGAUGGACUACAGGUGGAAUGCAAACCAGUACUGCAAACUGCAAAGAAGGUAGACCGUGUGUUGGACUAUAUCUGGGGGGAGUGGUGGGGGGGCAUGGGAUCAGACCAAGUGAAGUUAUUGUUGUCUUGUGAUGGCACUGGUGAAGCUGUAUAAGGAAAACGAAGCCUAGUUUGGAGCCCUCUGGAAUCUGAGGGAUGCCAAAAACCAAGAGGUUACAGUGAUGCAUUUUGAAGAAGCUGGAGUUGUUUAAUCUGACAAAGAGACUAAGGAAUGAUCUAUCAGCAACCUAGCAACCCACAACUACUAGAAGGAGAGAUACAAAGAUGACAAAAACAUCCUAAUUUUGGUAGACAGGUUGUACAGUACUGAAACAUCCUUUUUCUUCCUGGGCAGGGUAGCACUAAGAUAUGUCUUAACUAGAGCCAGCUAGCAAAAGUAAACUUUUAGUGGGAGAGACCUCCAAAUAUCCCCUGCAAACUGCAUUUCUAUGAUUCUGAUCCUUGAAAUCUGGAGUUCUGAACCCCAUUGUCUUUUUCCUUUGAAAGAGCACUCUUCUUCCCCACAGGAGUAUAAGGCAUGUUCCCUCAUCUUCAGUUUCUGAAAAAGUUUCCAUGAAGAGUUUAUUUAGGUUAAAAUAAAAGCUCUUGAAUGUAUCUGUGUUUGUGGCAUCUGAGGAAAUAUACAUUAAAUACAGCAGAAUAUUUUGAUACAAUAGGUCUGAGCUUUUUGGUACCAAAAAGGCAAACCACUUACUUGUGUUCAUAGAUACCCAUGUAGAAGUAGUGCCAUUCACUUCAUGAGAACUUAUUAAGUUAUUAAGUGAUUUCCUGGUUUAUGGCUUUGGUUCUUCUUUAAAAUGAAGUACUGAAUGCAAAAGGCUGGGAGUGGUGUAGAAUGCUCACUACUCAUGCAAGCAGCAACAACAGUCAGUCAAACUAUUAACUAUCUAAAAAACUAAUCUGGAAGAUUAGCCUUCUAAUAUUUACAAAACUAUUCAUGCAAACAGAGUGUAAUUUCAGUGUUCAGUUUCUUAGCUUGGAAUUUGUUCCUAUUCUGUCAUUUGUAGAGAACAGACAAUAAACACCUAGAAUGCUACAUUAAAAGAAAACAUCAGCAUAGAAUUGUCUUAAUGAUUAGACAAUAUGUUACUUAAACACAGAGUAGAAACUCACUAAUUUGUACUCUACAGGCAAAGAUAUUGCGUGCCAUAUAUUUUUCUCUCUACUUCUAUUGUACAGAAUUCCAGACUGAACUGCAGUUUUUACAACAUACAGAGUACUCCACAUGUGUGCAGUUUGGAUUUCACAGGACUGUAAAUAAUUUUAACUGUUUGCAUUGGUUGUUGGUUUUAAUCUUUCAGAUGCACGAACUCUUAAAUUUUUAUCAGGUUUUCAAAAAACUUUGAUACAGGAUAAUGCAUCUUAAAAACUUGCAUGCCUUUACUGUAAGUCUGAGAAGAAUUUAUAUCCCUAAGGCUUUCCUCUAGGAUAUCUUCUGACGUCAAAAAGGUAAAAUUAUAAAUAGAUUCUAUUUCUUUCAGAUGUCUAUUUAAUUUUUUUUCUUCCAAACACUGUAAUUUAAU